rnacentral:rRNA from 1 species
UACGAAGGGGGCUAGCGUUGCUCGGAAUCACUGGGCGUAAAGCGCACGUAGGCGGGUCCUUAAGUCGGGGGUGAAAUCCUGGAGCUCAACUCCAGAACUGCCUUUGAUACUGAAGAUCUUGAGUUCGGGAGAGGUGAGUGGAACUGCGAGUGUAGAGGUGAAAUUCGUAGAUAUUCGCAAGAACACCAGUGGCGAAGGCGGCUCACUGGCCCGAUACUGACGCUGAGGCGCGAAAGCGUGGGGAGCAAACAGG